GAGUAACUAUGACUCUCUUAAGGUAGCCAAAUGCCUCGUCAUCAAUGGAAAAAAAAAUGCCGCAAUAGUGGUAUUUUCUGGCUUUAAACCAAAAAAAAAUUGGCCGGGUUGGCAGAAAUGCCGGCCCGGCUAAUUUAGAAGCGACGCUUAUUCUACCGGCCGUAACGGGGGUGGAGCUCGGUGCCUAACGGCUUAAUACCCGAGAGCCCCUCUGGAUAAAGCCGGGAGAAAAAACAAGGAGUCUAACGUACAUACAAAAUAUUGCAGGGAUCGCUACCCGGCAAAAUUAUCCUNUAACGUGCAUGACGCUUAGCCGGNGGUGGGCUUAACUGCCUACCCCGGCACCGGCUGACAGGGGGGCCGGCUCCGAGUCCCGUGCUUCCCCCCCUCUCGGGGGGGGGAGGCCGGGCAGUGAGCGCGGGUUCCUCCAGUUGGCCGUAAAACUGACGCUUUUAGUGCAUCUUGCACCCGGUAGUGGGCCAAUAAACGUACCCGCGCAAGCGGGGGGUGUACCGGCUUAACCCGGUGGCUUGUAUUCUGUCCAAAUUGCCGUAUGAGUUCGUUUGAAUCCCGUGGCUUCCAAGCGGAAGGCCGAAAGGCUGCCGUGGCUUUCUGGGACUGGUUCCGAUCCAGUUACCGGGGGGGUAUGAAACAAGGUCGCGGUUAGUAGGACUUGUGCGGCAUCCAACUGCCUAAAGGGGAUUUUUCCCGGGCGUGUCUGGCUAUUCCAAAGGGUUGUCGCUGGCCUCACAAGCCGGCUUCGGCCUUGGCCGGAUCGUGUUCCCGGGGAGCUUCGCUCCAUGGUGGGGGUUCGAUGGUUCGACGGACAGCUCGGCAUAGUGUAUAAAUUGCCGAUAAGUGCCCGGUCAAAAUCUUUUUGGCCGGGCCACAGUAAGGCGGAACCUGAGGCCGGAUUCCAUGGCGGCUAUUUUGCCCGGCGCUCCUCUCACGGGGGGCAAUGGGUAGGCUGUCCCGGUCGUUUAAGGGGGAACCCAUACAAAACACGGACGCUUUUAAUUUGCCGUACAAAAAAAUAACCGGGCAAUCGACGGCUUUGUUGACGCUGGUCGCGGCUAAAUCCCCCGUCUUUUUCUUUAGGCGGCUAGCCUCUUCCGGAAGAGAAGCCGGUCCAAGGCCCGGUUAAUUUGUGACGCGCAUGAAUGGAUUAAUGAGAUUCCCACUGUCCCUACCUACUAUCUAGCGAAACCACAGCCAAGGGAACGGGCUUGGCACAAUUAGCGGGAAAGAAGACCCUGUUGAGCUUGACUCUAGGCACAGAUGCGAGGUGAUUCUAAAGGUGUAGCAUAGCGGGAGGGCUCUCGGGUCCGACCCUGAAAUACCGCCACUUUCGACAUUGCUUUGCUAAUGCUGUAACGAACGAACGGCCCCCCGGGUUCGGCCGCCUUCACGGGUGGUUGGCCUGGGAUCGGUCACAUUCUGGCUUUUGCUCGGCUGGCUAUGACUGGGUCCAGCCUGCGGGUGAGUACCUUGGGGCGGCAAUUGGGGCUUCCGGGUUCCGAGCGCAUUGUUCUGGGGGAACCGUGGGUGUGGGGCUUGGUCCUCUAGCCGGCAAUUUCAACGGGCACGUAACGACACUUGUGUAGCAGAAACACUGUGUUGGGGAGUUUGGCUGGGGCGGAAAACUGCUACAUGGCAACGGCAGUCUCCUAAGGUCUGCUCAGAGGCGACAGAAACGUCUCGUAGAACAUAAAGGUAAAAGCAGGCUUAAAUUACAUUCUCAGUAGUAAUGUGAAGCGAGAAAUCGAGGCUUAACGAUCCUUAGCGGCGGGUGCCAGCCCACGCUUGAGGUGAGAGAAAAGUUACCACAGGGAUAACUGGCUUGUGGCCGCCAAGCGUUCAUAGCGACGUGGC
rnacentral:rRNA from 1 species